rnacentral:misc_RNA from 1 species
CUGUGGUCGGCCGCGCGUGCGCACAGUGCUCGCGCUGGUGGAUACGGAUACGUGUUUCGGGGCAGCGCUGCUGUCUUGGUGGCUCGCCGUCGCCCCCAUUCCCCGCUAUCGUCGAUGCCAUGGGGUGGGUGGCGUGCCUGGAUGGCGUGCCCGCAUGCGCCGCGACAGGUGGGACGCUGCCAUGAGUCUGUGGCAGCAAGGGGCAUCCCGCCUUCCCCUGAACCCGCACGGUCCUGGCAGGGAGUGGGUGUGUCCAGCGGAGGGGGCUGGCGGAUAGGCAUGUGCCUGCGCGCGACGAAGUCGCAGCUUGCCGUCCUGAGGGGGGGUGCAGGGGGGGCGGCGGCGGACACGCGACUGGGGGCGGGGGUCCAUGCGUCGCGCGAUUCGCGAACUCGCGCGUGGCACUGCGGGCCCGACACGGCGGCGGAGGCCCUGGCGGGGGUGGGGACGCCACCGUGCGAGCGGAGUAGCAGGCAGCGCACCACGUGCACUCCAUCUUGUCACUGCCAGUCACCCGUCGCUGCAGGAAUGCAAAGGGCGGACAGGUGUGCGUGCGGAGCUGGGCGAUGACGGUCUCCUGUCGUCUCGUGAGCUCGGCGCCGUCGUUGCUUGGCGCGGGACGGCUGCCACCGUGUAACUGACGCGAUUUGCCGUGAGCCGGUACACGCGUGAUCGCGGUCGCGAGUCUCUUCGGCACAGCGCCAGCCCAGACCGGUGUGCCGGCAGCAAGAGUCCACAUCCGUGCCCGACGGCAGGGUGCCGACUAUUGGCGUUCCCCCGGAGGGCGUACUGGACCUUCGUGCCACGGUGCGGUGGCCGGCAUCGCGAAGGAUGACGAUGUAAGUGGCCAAAAGCGAAGGGCAUGGCCGCACUGGAGAAAGCUCAGAGGCUGGCGUUGAGGGGCGGGCAGGAAAGGCUCAGUGGACAUGGCCCUUGUGAACGUCGUGUGGUCCUUCGCACGUCGCCGUUCUGCCUCACAUGACCUCUAAAGAGGGAUAGGCCCAUGUGUCUUAGCUGAACUCUCUAGGUUCAUCACGUGUGCUGCGGGACGUUCGAAAGCAGCAGCGCCGGUCUUGCUCUCCGGCAUGCACGCGUCUGGCCGCGCUCUGAUUAGAAACGCGCACAGAGUAGCGCAGGCGCAGAGGAAGCUGCGCACGUGUACUCCCCUCUUCACUUCUUCCUGUCUCUUGUUCUCUAUCUCGCUUUCCUUCAG